rnacentral:sRNA from 3 species
CCCUAGCCCUGAUAGAAGUGAAAAUCCUUUUGUGAAGCUUUAGCGGAACAAAAGAUUGUAGCGGAUAGCAGGAAACAGC